AUGGAUCCGGAGCAGACGUUCCUGCGGGUGCACGCGCGGCUCUCCGGGAUGCUGUCCCAGCUGCUCACCCCGCGGAUCCGCCUCGCGCUCGAGUACCUCUACCUCGCCGGCGCCGUCGCGCUCUUCUGCCUGCUCGUCGUCAUGCACACCAACUUCGUGCAGCAGCCGGGCUGCUCAAGUGAGUUCACUGGGAUUGAAUUUGGUGAAGCACAACUAGUCCAAAUCAAGAUAAUCAGUGGUGGACUAUGGGCCAGCAAAGGUGCGUCUUAUAUUAUGGAUCUCCAGAACCUGGGGCGUUCAGCUGAGAAAAUUCUAGAGGUUAAUGGUGAUAAGUUCAAUGUUUUGGCAUCUAAGUUUUUGUCAACUUGGGUUGGUCCUGGAGCUAGAAGGAGGGUACCGGAAUUGAAGACAACCGGAGAGGGUUCUGUACAUCAUCCUUUAUCUGCUAAAGAAUCAAUCAAAGCAGCGGCUACAUACUUAUCCAGAAAGUGGUACUCUCGUGCUGCCUUAUUUUGGAGGAACAUAAAGCAGGUUUCAGAUAAUGCCCUCCAACUAAUGGUCAGAUCGAACUGGGAUGACUUCCUCCACCUCAUUAAGGAUCUUCAAUUACCAAGCAUGGAUCAUCUUCUUUCGAACAUUGUGAAGUGGUUUGAGAAAAGAAGCAAAUCGUUUGAGCCUACCUAUUUAUAUGGUGUGGAGAAGGGAUAUUUCUUGCUUUCUGAAGUAGCCAAAAAUAGUCAUGGUGUCCGAACUAUAAACAUCACAAUUUCUGCUCGAAAUCCUUGCUUUGGGAACAGGUGGCAGCAGCUUUUGAUAAACAGCAUUGUUGGUUAUGAUACUAUACUUACAAACAGCUUAGUGAAUUCUCCUGGCCAGGGUUAUCUAUAUAACUUUCAGACAAAGGAGCUUUAUGAUCUUAGUUAUGGGCAUGAACCGCCAACAGGCCCUACAAGAUUCGGAGAUUACUUUGUGACGAAAUGUGGUGUCCUUCUAAUGUCACUCUUUGUAUUCUUCACAACCACCAUGUCUGUUUCAUUUACCCUGAGGGAAACACAGUCCCGCAUGCUUAGGUUCACAGUGCAGCUUCAACACCAUGCACGCCACCAGCUGCCCACAUUUCAACUGAUAUUUGUGCAUGUCAUUGAAUCACUGGUUUUUGUUCCGAUCAUGAUUGGGAUCCUCUUUUUUCUGUUUGAGUUCUACGAUGACCAGUUGCUCGCAUUUCUUGUUCUGACUCUUGUGUGGUUAUGUGAGCUGUUCACGAUGAUCAGUGUGCGCACAUCUAUAUCAAUGCAGUUCUUUCCGCGCUUCUUCUUGUUGUAUUUCCUGGUUUUCCACAUCUACUUCUUCUCAUACACCUACGGCUUCUCGUACCUGGCUUUCUCUGCCACGGCAGCAUUCAUGCAGCAUCUAAUCCUGUACUUUUGGAAUCGUUUUGAGGUGCCAGCCCUCCAGAGAUUCAUCAGGAGCCGAGCUCAUAUCCACCAACAGACUGGUGUUCAGAUCACAUCCUCCACCAUCUACACUUCAACAUUACAUAUCGCGAGGGUAAACGUGAGGGACCCCGGCACGAUGAACGACGACGUUGGCGCAGCUCGUGAAGCGGAUCCCCUACUGGCCCAGGCCGAGCCGACGAGGAACCAACAAGAGGGGGGCCAGCAACUGAAUGAAAACGCCGAGGCGGCAGCCACCGACCCUCUCCAGUACGAAGAUCAAAAUCUCGAGCAAGCCGGCAACGCCCCCGCAGCCUCGGGCUCGUUGAACCCGUUCGGCUCCCUCUUGCUGUGGUUAUUAGGAGGCGGCGCUUCUGACGGCAUAGUUUCUUUCUUCUCCAUGUUCAGGGACGUCCGCGACCACCACCACGGUCAGGACUACGCCGAGCCGCCCCGAAACGAGAACGAGCAGGUGACAUAG
rnacentral:rRNA from 1 species